rnacentral:lncRNA from 1 species
UCAAACUGGGAGGGUCUGGGAGCGGCUUCCGGGUUGAACUGGGAGCACUGGGAGUGGAUACUGGUUUGUACUGGGAAGGAUUGGUUCAUACUGGGAGCGCUGGGAGCUGUUACUGGUUCGUACUGGGAGCCUAGAGGGAGUUACUGGGGGUCACUGGUUCAUACUGGGAGCACUGGGAGCUGUUACCGGUUUGUACUGGGAGUUACUGGUCCAUACUGGGAGCACUGGGAGCGGUUACUGGUUUGUACUGGGAAGGACUGGGAGCACUGUGAGGGGUUAUUGGGAUGGACUGGUUCAUACUGGGAGCACUGGGAGCUGUUACUGGUUUGUACUGGGAUGGACUGGUUCAUACUGGGAGCACUGGGAGCGGUCACUGGUUCAUACUGGGAGCACUGGGAGUGGUUACUGGGAUGGAUUGGCUCAUACUGGGAUGCUGGGAGCGGUUACUGGUUUGUACUGGGAAGGACUGGGAGCACUGGGAGGGGUUAUUGGGAUGGACUGGUUCAUACUGGGAGCACUGGGAGCGGUUACUGGUCCAUACUGGGAGCACUGGGAGCUGUUACUGGUUUGUACUGGGAAGGGCUGGUUCAUACUGGGGGUCACUGGUUUGUACUGGGAUGGACUGGUUCAUACUGGGAUAUACUGGGAGUUACUGGUUCAUACUGGGAGCACUGGGAGCGGUCACUGGGAGUUACUGGGAAAGACUGGUCCAUACUGGGAUGGACUGAGGGUUACUGGGAGCACUGGUUCAUACUGGGAGGCACUGGGCCAUACUGGGAGCACUGGGAGCGGUUACUGGUUUGUACUGGGAUAGACUGGUUUAUACUGGGAGCACUGGGAGCCGUUACUGGUUUGUACUGGGAGUUACUGGUUCAUACUGGGAGGCACUGGGAGCGGUCACUGGUCCAUACUGGGAGGCACUGGGGGUUACUGGGAGCACUGGGAUGGGUUACUGGGGGUCACUGGUUCAUACUGGGAUGCUGGGAGCCGUUACUGGUUUGUACUGGGAAGGACUGGGCCAUGGUUACUGGGAUGGACUGGGGGUUACUGGUCCAUACUGGGAUAGACUGGGAGCGGUCACUGGUCCAUACUGGGAAGGGCUGGUUCAUACUGGGGGUCACUGGUUUAUACUGGGAUGGACUGGUUCAUACUGGGGGUACUGGGAGCCAUUACUGGUUUGUACUGGGAGCCCUGGGAGUGGAUACUGAUUCGUACUGGGAAGGACUGGUCUAUACUGGGAGCACUGGGAGCGGUUACUGGGAUGGACUGGGGGUCACUGGUUCAUACUGGGAGCACUGGGAGCUGUUACUGGUUCAUACUGGGAGCACUGGGAGCGCUUACUGGGAUGGAUUGGUUCAUACUGGGAUGCUGGGAGGGGUUACUGGUUUGUACUGGGAAGGACUGGGAGCACUGGGAGCGGUUACUGGUUUGUACUGGGAGCACUGGGAGCAGUGACUGGGAUGGACUGGGGGUUACUGGGAGCACUGGUCCAUAGUGGGAGCCGUUACUGGUUCAUACUGGGGC